AGCAGCCGCGGUAAUUCCAGCUCCAAUAGCGUAUAUUAAAGUUGUUGCAGUUAAAAGCUCGUAGUUGAACUUCGGGGUCUACCCAUUGGUCAGGCUUAAUUGUCUGUACUGGUGAGAUUGGAUCUCUACCUUCUGAGGAACUUUCAUGCCAUUUAGUUUGGUGUGGUUAGAAAUCAGG
rnacentral:misc_RNA from 1 species